rnacentral:rRNA from 1 species
GAUGAACGCUGGCGGCGUGCCUAACACAUGCAAGUCGAGCGCGUCUGAUUUGAUGCUUGCAUUAAUGAAAGAUGAGCGGCGGACGGGUGAGUAACGCGUGGGUAACCUGCCCUAUACACAUGGAUAACAUACUGAAAAGUUUACUAAUACAUGAUAAUAUAUAUUUACGGCAUCGUAGAUAUAUCAAAGUGUUAGCGGUAUAGGAUGGACCCGCGUCUGAUUAGCUAGUUGGUGAGAUAACUGCCCACCAAGGCGACGAUCAGUAGCCGACCUGAGAGGGUGAUCGGCCACAUUGGAACUGAGACACGGUCCAAACUCCUACGGGAGGCAGCAGUGGGGAAUAUUGCACAAUGGGCGCAAGCCUGAUGCAGCAACGCCGCGUGAACGAUGAAGGUCUUCGGAUCGUAAAGUUCUGUUGCAGGGGAAGAUAAUAACGUACCCUGGAGGAGCCCC